UCACUAACGCUUGAUCCUGUAAUGUUAAUGGAAUGUGUCCUGGGCCUGCUUCUGAUAUUUUAAUGAAGCUGUUUCAGUCUUGCUUCUCUUCUGCAGCACCUUGUCCCAUUGGUGGUAGCAUUGGAUGAUUAGGUGCAAACUAUUGUCCCUUUUAUUUGCAAGAUUUAGUACAAAAAAAAACUAGUCAGCCAUCUUGUAUUGUGUGGCCAGAUCACAGCAGACGCAGGACAGCUGUAGCACAAUAAAACGCAAAUUUCCAUGUUCUUAUUUUUAUAAUUAAUAAAUUAAUGAUUUGUUUAGUUUAGUUUAAUUUAUUUUAAGUCAUGGUAGUAAAAUUACGUAGUUCAAAAAAAAAAA